rnacentral:rRNA from 1 species
GACGUAGGUGGCGAACGUUAUCCGGAAUUAUUGGGCGUAAAGGGUGCGUAGAUGGCCUGACAAGUUAACAGUGGUAAAUCGAGGCUCAACCUCGUGGAAACUGAUAAUACUGUCUGGCUCGAGUGCAGAAGAGGUUAACGGAAUUCCAUGUGGAGCGGUAAAAUGCAUAGAUAUAUGGAAGAACACCAAUAACGGCGAAGGCAGUUAACUAUUCUGUUACUGACAUUGAGGCACGAAAGCGUGGGGAGCAAAACGG